GGGAGGACUUGGUCUGUGAGGACCUCUCCCUCCUCUGCACUCAUGCCUGCCUGCUGCCUGUGAGGCUUCGAUGGAACAGAAUGCAUUGCCAGCUCCCACCUGGAGCACUGUGCUGCUAGGUUCACAUCCCAGGGGGCUUCUGAUAUGCUACAGACGGGGACGCUUCAGCAUCCUUUAACCUGGGAUGCUGCCUGCUAGGAGAGGAGCAGCUUCAGCCCUUCCGAAAAGUCUUCCUUCUCCUCCUCUUCCUGCCCCACUUUUUCCUCUUCCUCCUCCUCCUCCUCUCCUCUUCCAUUUUUAAAAAUUUCAGUAAAUGUUUCAUUAGG
rnacentral:antisense_RNA from 1 species